rnacentral:rRNA from 1 species
GAUGAACGCUGGCGGCGUGCCUAAUACAUGCAGGUCGAGCGAAUGGAUUAAGAGCUUGCUCUUAUGAAGUUAGCGGCGGACGGGUGAGUAACACGUGGGUAACCUGCCCAUAAGACUGGGAUAACUCCGGGAAACCGGGGCUAAUACCGGAUAACAUUUUGAACCGCAUGGUUCGAAAUUGAAAGGCGGCUUCGGCUGUCACUUAUGGAUGGACCCGCGUCGCAUUAGCUAGUUGGUGAGGUAACGGCUCACCAAGGCAAAGAUGCGUAGCCGACCUGAGAGGGUGAUCGGCGAAACUGGGACUGAGACACGGCCCAGACUCCUACGGGAGGCAGCAGUAGGGACUCUUCCGCAAUGGACAAAAGUCUGACGGAGCAACGCCGCGGGGGUGAUGAAGGCUUUCGGGUCGUAAAACUCUGUUGUUAGGGAAGAACAAGUGCUAGUUGAAUAAGCUGGCAACUUGACGGUACCUAACCAGAAAGCCACGGCUAACUACGUGCCAGCCGCCGCAGUAA